CGGCCACGGUGUUGUUGGUUUUGGAUUUUUUGAUGAAGUUUUAAAUUUUAAAGAAGAAAAUAUCCAAGAGAGAUUUCUAAUGGUGGACAAACACAAGUUUUUUAGUGAAUCGAAAAAAGACCACUCGCAGGGCUUGAACGAGCUUGAAGAAGAAAGUUCGGAAGUAGUAAAACUUGCUUGCAGCCGCUCUCAAUGUAACCAAAGUCUUCUGAUUGGCUCUAAAGAAGGGCCACGCUUUCUUAAGCAGCAGAACUUCCAACCUAAACAUUCUCUAAUAAAGAGGGCCAAUCAUUUAUCUUCUUUUAGCGCAGCAUUAACAGUUCAAAAGCAGAACACUAAAUCAAUGAUGAUUACUUUUUCCUCGAAUUCCAAAAGCUCAAGCUCAAAAGAAAAGCCACUCUUAAAGAAUUCUGAUUCCUCUAGAAACCACUCUCUUCCAAAAUUUACAGGAAGUCUGUUUUCAGUGCUUUCGAAGAAUUCUCUAACUUUUGCUAAGAAAUAAAAACAUA